rnacentral:tRNA from 1 species
GCACUGAUGGCGGAAUGGUAUACGCGUUGGUCUCAGAAGCCAAUCGGGAAACCGGUGUGAGUUCAAGUCUCAUUCAGUGCACCA